AUUGAACGCUGCGGCCGGCCUAAACCAUGCAAGUCGAGCGGAGCGGCGGACGGGGGAGUAAAGCCUAGGAAUCUGACUGGUAGUGGGGGAUAACGUCCGGAAACGGGCCCUAAUACCGUAUACUAUCAGAUGAGCCUAGGUCGGAUUAGCUAGUCGGUGGGGUAAAGGCCUACCAGGGCGACGAUCCGUAACUGGUCUGAGAGGAUGAUCAGUCACACUGGAACUGAGACACGGCCAAGACUCCUACGGGAGGCAGCAGUGGGGAAUAUUGGACAAUGGGCGAAAGCCUGAUGCAGCCAUGCCGCGUGUAUGAAGAAGGUCUUCGGGUUGUAAAGCACUUUAAGUUGGGAGGCGUUACCAACAGAAGAAGCACCGGCUAACUUCGUGCCAGCAGCCGCGGUAAUUC
rnacentral:rRNA from 1 species